rnacentral:rRNA from 1 species
UACGUAGGGGGCUAGCGUUGUCCGGAAUCGUUGGGCGUAAAGCGCGUGUAGGCGGUCCGGUAAGUCCGCUGUGAAAGUCGAGGGCUCAACCCUCGAAUGCCGGUGGAUACUGUCGGGCUUGAGUACGGGAGAGGCGAGUGGAAUUCCUGGUGUAGCGGUGAAAUGCGCAGAUAUCAGGAGGAACACCGAUUGCGAAGGCAGCUCGCUGGAACGUUACUGACGCUGAGACGCGAAAGCGUGGGGAGCAAACAGG